rnacentral:rRNA from 1 species
GUAUAAAGUAGGCGAACGGCUGAGUAACACGUGGGCAACCUGCCCUUUGCACUGGGAUAGCCUCGGGAAACCGAGGUUAAUACCGGAUACUCCAUAUUUGUCGCAUGGCGAAUAUGGGAAAGCUCCGGCGGCAAAGGAUGGGCCCGCGGCCUGUUAGCUAGUUGGUGGGGUAGUGGCCUACCAAGGCAAUGAUGGGUAGCCGGGUUGAGAGACCGACCGGCCAGAUUGGGACUGAGACACGGCCCAGACUCCUACGGGAGGCAGCAGAA